UACGAAGGGGGCUAGCGUUGCUCGGAAUCACUGGGCGUAAAGGGUGCGUAGGCGGGUCUUUAAGUCAGGGGUGAAAUCCUGGAGCUCAACUCCAGAACUGCCUUUGAUACUGAGGAUCUUGAGUUCGGGAGAGGUGAGUGGAACUGCGAGUGUAGAGGUGAAAUUCGUAGAUAUCUGGAGGAACACCGGUGGCGAAGGCGGCAUCCUGGACCGACACUGACGCUGAGGAGCGAAAGCCAGGGGAGCAAACGGG
rnacentral:rRNA from 1 species